rnacentral:rRNA from 1 species
CAGUAGCCACGGUAAAACGAAGGGGGCUAGCGUUGCUCGGAAUGACUGGGCGUAAAGGGCGCGUAGGCGGUUGACACAGUCAGAUGUGAAAUUCCUGGGCUCAACCUGGGGGCUGCGCUUGAUACUUGGUUGCUUGAGUGGGGAAGAGGGUCGUGGAAUUCCCAGUGUAGAGGUGAAAUUCGUAGAUAUUGGGAAGAACACCGGUGGCGAAGGCGGCGACCUGGUCCUUGACUGACGCUGAGGCGCGAAAGCGUGGGGAGCAAACAGGAUUAGAGACCCCAGUAGUCCCUGUCUCUUAUAC